rnacentral:rRNA from 1 species
UACGUAGGGUGCGAGCGUUGUCCGGAAUUACUGGGCGUAAAGCGUGCGCAGGCGGUUUGCUAAGACAGGUGUGAAAUCCCCGGGCUUAACCUGGGAACUGCGCUUGUUACUGGCAGGCUUGAGUGUGGCAGAGGGGGGUGGAAUUCCACGUGUAGCAGUGAAAUGCGUAGAUAUCAGGAGGAAUACCGAUGGCGAAGGCAGGUCUCUGGGCUAUAACUGACGCUCAUGCACGAAAGCGUGGGGAGCAAACAGG